CCUUCCCAAUUCCUAUUUAGGGUUUUCUCCGUGUCACACUAUAAAUACCCGCCUCUAGAAUUUGGGAGUCAUCGUCUUCUUUUUCCUCCUCCCUUUAGAUCUGUGUUCACACUGUAAUUAUAGCUUGGGUUGGUUUUGGGUGAAAACCCAAUUUCUAUUCCGCUCUGUUUUAUCAAAUCUGUGAUGAGAAUAAUACUGCAACAAUAUGAAUGGAGAUACGCUAUCUCCACCUUCCAUGUUUACUUGUAUUUAAGUCUCUGAUGAUUUGCUUCAAUUCUUCAUUCCCCUCUUUGGGUUUUUUUUUCUCUCUCUCAAAAUUAUUUGUAGGCGUGAUGAGCAACUUAUUGGUCCGUGUUUCUGAAUUUACCGUGACCGACAAACCUUAACCAACUCUGAUCUCUUAUGUUUUACUUCACUUCUUUGCCGAUUUUGAUCUUUACCGUGUAAAAGUUUGUUUCUUUUGAUCUUUUACCAUGAAAGAUUGUUUCUUUUUUAAAAUUACUCGUGGGCGUGAUGAGGAACUUAUUGGUCCGUGUUUCUGAAUUUACAUUGACGAAAAACCUUAACCAACUCUGAUCUCACGAUUAUGAAAGUUUGUAGCUUUUUCGUGUUUUGUUUCGAUGAUUUGAACUUUGUGUUUUACUGUGGUUGUUGCUCUGUGAUUUUUGCCUUGAAUAGGCAUAUACGCUAUUCUGAUUCAUAUCAUGAAUGGAUAAGUUUUGAAAGCUGAGAGCUUCCUACUGCUAAUUUUGUUUUUGUGUACUGUUCUGCGGUGAUGAAUUAUGGAUUAAAUUCACAUGUCAGACUUCAGAGAUUGUAAAAAAUCAAUGAGAAUGAAACUUCCUAGCGUCUGAGCAGAUUGAAUUUUACUUGUUUUCUUUGUUUGUUGAUACAAUGUGGCGUGAGAUUUCUCUUCGGAAUUCUCAAGCUUUUCAGUGGGAGCAAACAGUUUGUGUGUUUGUAAGAUCCCAAGUAAGCGUCACAAACAAAGCCUGGUAUCGUUGACGGUGCUUUUAUUAGUAUCUCCGAGAAGGGCGGCCUCAUAUUCCAUUGCCUUGUGGAGCGGCGUUGCUGCCUUUACUAUUUGGGACUGGCCAUGAGGCAUACAUUUUUUGUUACUUCAGUUUGUUUUUUGUUUUCUGUUUUUGUGGUUUGUUGGUCUUUGUUUUGUUUAUGUCAUGGAAAAAGGGUUGGAGGCGUGGAGUAUGAAUAAUGCAGUUUUGGACUGUAAACUGGAUGGGAUGGGAAGAAUGGCACGAAAAUGAUAAAAUAUUGUUGCUCGUGCCAUUUUCCCAUCACAUCUUGUUUACAAUGUUUGUUCGUGAAGUCGAAGAUGCCAAGAUUGAAGUAUUGCUCCAGCUAUUGUAUUUAGAGUUCGACAGCCAAUAUAUAAGAUGUUUGGAUUGUGGUAUAUAAGUUUGUGAUCAAAGCAUGAUAGGAAGAAUGAAUCACGUGCCCCUUGUGUCGUUACUCAAUGCCAACUGAGGGAGAGGAAGGAACAUUCAGAUUCUAAACAGAGGCCGAAGGGAAAGCAUCUCUUUAAUGAUGCAAAUUUGUCAGCUAAUCCAUUAGCUAAUGUAGGAAAAAUGGGAAGAAUGGCUCGGAAGUAUUGUUGACGGUGCUUGUACUAGUAUCGCCGAGAAGGGCGGCCUCAUAUCCCCUUGCCUUGUAGAGCGGCAUUGCUGCCUUUACUAUUUGGGACUGGCCAUGAGGCACACACUUUUGCACUUCAGUUUUCCCUUUUGGUGGCUUGGAGUAUGAAGAAUGGCACGGUGAUGGUUUGUUGAUUACUGUUGCUCUUGCCAUUUUUCCAGCACAUCAUGUUUACAAAGUUUGAUGAAUUGCUCCAGCUUGAUCAUUGUAAUCCUAUUGUAUCUGGAGUUUGACAGCCUACAUAUAAGAUUUUUGGUCUGCGGUAUUAGUUUGUGCAAUUUCUUUGAUGUUCAUACAUAAUCAGAUGAUUCAGAUCCAUAUCAGGGCCAUGAACUAUUUGGCACCUUCAGCCAAUUCCUAAUGUAGCAAGAUUGUUAAUAAAAAAAAAAAUGUUUCAGAA